rnacentral:rRNA from 1 species
GAUGAACGCUGGCGGCGUGCCUAAUACAUGCAAGUCGAGCGAACGCACCAGAACCUUUCUUCUCUGAUUUUAUCGCCGGUCGGGUGCGUCACACGUGGUUAACCUACCUACACGACUGGGAUAACUUCGGGAAACCGUAUCUACUACCGGAUAAUAUUUUGAACCGCAUUGUUCAAAAGUAAAAGACGCUCUUUCUUUCACUUAUAGAUUACCCCGCGCUGCAUUAGCUAGUUGGUAAGGUGACGGCUUAACAAGGCAACGAUGCAUAGCCGACCUGAGAGGGAGGACGGACAGACUGGAACUGAGACACGGUACCGACACCGAGGGGAGGAAGCAGUAGGGAAUCUUACGCAAUGGGGGAGAGCCUAACGGUGCAAAGUCGCGGAAGUGAUGAAGGACUUAGGAUGGUAAAACGAUGAAAUUAGGAGAGAAGAAAUGUGUAAGUAACUGUGAAGAUAUUGACGGUACCUAAAGAAAAAGCUACGGCUAACUACGUG